UUUUGCAACCCCCCCCCCCUUCUUCCCCAUCGCCGCCCUCUCUCCCAGAUCUCUGGCUCUCCGCCGCCACCUCCCCUACCCGUCUCCCUCUCCGGCUGCCUCCGCCGCCCCACCUGCUCCCGCGAGAUCCAGAUCUGGCGCAGGGAGCAACAGCGCCCCCUUCCUUCGCCCGACUCUGCCCCGGAGCUCGUAAGGCACGGUAAAAUAAUGAUUGUGUACGAUUUUUCCUGUCAGCGUUCGUGCCCACUCCAAUAGAGCGUUUGGCCCUGUGAGCUUUGACUACGAGAGCUACCUAUGUCAAAGUAUCGGCAAUUAAGUGGAAGGCAUUGUUCAAGAAAAUAGGCCGGGGUCACUACAGAAAAAAUAAAGAAGCUAGGAUGUUUGCAAGUUUCAACAUGGUGGCCCUAGGUGCUUCAGGGCAACGGGAAACAUGGUGAAAUUGUUGUGGGCAUUUUGAUGAAUUAACUGGUUCAGAUAGAUAGAUAAAGUGUAACAGACAUUCGGAUAAACUCCACACUCCACUGGUGGUGGCGUCCCUCUUUGGUUCUUCAUUGGAAUGCUUGGAGAGAAUUUAUGGAGGCACGCCAACACAAAGCACUUAUGGCUGUUGCAGAUGGAGAUGUUGCAUACUGGGAGAACAAAUAUGAUCCUGCAUUGAGAUGCUAUUUUUCCCUAAUUGGCUGCAUUUACUUGGUGUUGAUUUACUUUGCUGCCGCCUGCUGGUUAGUACUAAAAUGUUUAUGAGAUUUAAGCAUUGAACACGAAAUUGCUGUGUGCCUAGAUGAUAGGAGCAAGAUCAAUGAAUGAGAAUAUGGAGAUUCUCCAAAACAUGAAACUGGUGCUUACAGAAAAUGAGAAUAGCAACAAAGGCUAUUCAGUCCUCUUUGUAUUUGAUAGUAUAUGAAUCAAUUGAAGCUUCAAGUGCAGGUAUCUUUGUAGUUUACGAAAUGUGUUUGGCUAGGCUCAUGUGAUGGAUUAUUGUUUAAUUCUUAAACAUGUAACUAUAACUAUAUGACAUCAUUGAUUUAUUCUCUGUCCAAUUGGUUAUUAUACAGGGGUAUACAAAGGAGUAGAUCCAAAAAAUGACUUAAAAAUUCUCGGGCUGAACUUGAUUAGUCCCCAAUUCACCGGGUCUCUAUGAUCAUUUUUUGGUAAAUGAUGACCUUGAACUUGAAACUCACUGUGAAAAAUUGAAGAAGUUGCUUUCUCCAGAUGACGAUUCCAAUUCCUGGGCCAGUGAUGAUGGCGUGUUAGCGUCAUGGUCCUUCCCGAAGGUGUGGUCGUGAGAGCCAGUUGGUGUUCAUUCUUCCUCUGGUCGUGCUCGAUUACGGUGUGGGUAUUCUUUUACAAAUCGGAGGUGCUACGUCGAGACAUUCCCUCCCUGGAGGCGAUGUCGACAUAUCCUCCUACUCUUGUGCCAGAUGGAGAUUUAUAUGAAAAGGGCAAGCAACAAACCAUCCAGAAAUCAAGCUUCUAAGUAGGCGAGUGAUGUGAUGGAUUGGUACGUGUGAAUACAUUGCAAGAUUGAAGCUGAAACAAAAAAGUUUGAAGCUUAGCCUUCUAGAUUUCUUUCUUUGUUUUAUAGCUUUUUUCUUGUAUUCAUGGAAUUCCUCAUUUUAGGUCUAGAGUGUAAGAACUCUUGUAUUAGUCAUUCGCAUGUGAAUGAUCAAGGCCGAAACUUUUCCCAUAAUCUAAAAAAAGAUGAUGAUUAAGAAGA